rnacentral:rRNA from 1 species
UAGGGAAUCUUCCACAAUGGGCGCAAGCCUGAUGGAGCAACACCGCGUGAGUGAAGAAGGGUUUCGGCUCGUAAAGCUCUGUUGUUAAAGAAGAACACGUAUGAGAAUAACUGUUCAUACGUUGACGGUAUUUAACCAGAAAGUCACGGCUAACUACGUGCCAA